GCGUGAGCCACCACACCCAGGCUUGUUUUUUUUAAGUCAUUGACAGCAGCUUCCCAGACAGACUUAUAGUAGAAAACAUUCUUUCAUUUAAAAAGAAAGAAAGCAUGCCUCCAUCUUCAGGGAAUCUUCAUUUAUUUUUACUUUAUCUUUAAAGACAAUAUAUUGUUUUGAAAGAAGGUUUUGAAGAAACAACAUCAUAGCUUGGGGCUCUGCAUGACUCUGUGGAACUGAGACAGCCACCAACUCAGAAAUGGAAGACAAACAAAUUCUUUCUUUUAGAGCUUUUGGUUUUUAGACUUUCAUAUUUCAGCAUCUUAACCUUUUGGCUAAAUAAUGCAGCCUGAGUUAUUUGUUUUUCCACGUCUUUCUUUAUGAAAAGUCUGCCCAUUUAACCAAGCCAUUCAAAAAUAUAUAAAUUUGAAGGCAUUUUCAUUCUUAUAUAUUUUUAAUGGGAAAAUAUACAAUUUUAUUAUUUUCCAAACAUUUCCCUUGUAGUAUGAUGUUUCCUUAAAGGUGAAGUUGUCCCCUGGAAAGGCCUGCUAGAGGCAAGUAAGGUAACAUUAAUGUUUUUUCAUGCUUGCUAAUAAAUGUAUGUAAAGUUUUUCUUUCAAGUUUUUUGCACUUAUUUUUCAAAUAAGUGUACAUUUCAUUAAAUGGCAACCACGAAAUACAGAGAAGAUCGUCAAACUAAAGUCAGAGAAACUGCUUCUAUUGCUAUUCCUUAAGACUUUUGGCUAAUUAAUAAAUGUCUUUGAUUCAUAUAUAUGUAUGUAUGGAAAGGGGGUAUGAAUUGAAAUAAAAUAAUGUUACAAAUAAUUUAAAAAUCUGAAGUAUAUGCAUAAUAAAUACUGAACUUAUUUUUUACCAGCUUGGGGAUUCAGCUACUCUAAAAUAACAUUAAGAAUGUUUUGCUGUACUAUCUUCACAAAAAGUAAAGUCAACUAAAUGAUGUUCUGUUCCCAACUCAGCAGUUAAAUAUUUGUUUAAGAAACAUGGAGGAGAAACAGAAAGAUGUAUUGGAAAGUUAUGCGUCUGAAACUAAAUUAUCAAGCCUCCAAGUCUUUUCCACAAACUGGUAAGUAACUUAUUUUCAGUAUGACAAACAGAUAUUUUUGUCAAAUUUUUAAUUAUAAAUAAAAAGAUACAUGUGAAUUCCUGCCUAGUAGUUUUCUUUUAAUUUUUAU
rnacentral:lncRNA from 1 species